rnacentral:lncRNA from 1 species
AUGCAGCCCCAAAACCAGCACCUCCCACCCUCAGGGGGGAUGCAGCCCCCAAAACCAGCACCUCCCACCCUCAGGGGGGAUGCAGCCCCAAAACCAGCACCUCCCACCCCUCAGAGGGGAUGCAGCCCCCAAAACCAGCACUGUGGGAGAGGCUGGGAAUCAGGAAUCAGCCCUUGCUCCUGGAUCUCCGCUGGGGAACAGGAGAGAUCCCGGAGUUUGGGGCAGGAUUAGAGCAUGGGGGGAUUAAGGGAAUCAGCAUUAGCCUGAUUUCACUCUGCUUUCUGAGAGGAGCACCUUGGCCUUAACAAAGGUGCUGAGCAAUAUCCUGAAGUGGUUUGCAUCCCUGGGGAUAAAACCUCGUCCUGCUUUUGACCCCAGCUGGUGGCUGAAUCCGCAGGGAUUCCGCUGCCCUGGGAAAACCGUGGCCCCAUUUCACCAGGGGAUGAUUCCUCCUUGACUUUCCCUCUGUCUGACCAAGCCAGCCCUUCCCACUCCCAGGACACACAACAAGAAAUGUCUUUCUUUGGUAAUUUCCUCUUAAAAGUUAUAUUUCCCCUGCCUGCAGGACCUGGAGCUUUAAGAGGAAUCACAACUGGCCUGAGGGGCACCAUGAGCCCCAUCAGGAUCGGUGAAGCCAAGAUUUUUUUGUCUUUAUUGUGGGGUUUUGAAGCCUUUCCUUGAAUUCUGGCUGGAAGAGGCACUUCCCAACAGGUUUGGGGAAGCAGGAGAUGCAGCAGCGAUGAGAACAGGGAGGGGAUGCUCAGGACAGGUUUUUCCUGAGGAACAGAGGAACAGAGUUUAACCCCUUGAAGCAAAUAGCUGAAACGCCUUGGAAAACAUUAAUUUCAACACAAGAUUUUUUUUUAAUGUUUCCAUUUUUUAAUUUUUUUUUUUUAUUUUUUAUUUUUAUUUUUUUUAAUGUUUUCCUCCCUCCUUCCAGAGGGAGGAGCCUUCACCUGCUGCUGGCAGAGUAUCCUUGGGACAGGCAGUGAGGACAUAAAUGUGUCCCCACGUUUGGGAUGGGGCUCAUAACCCCCCACCCCCAGAGGAGCAUUCUUGCCACCUGUGAUUUCCCGGUGAUUUUCCCCAAGGAGAAGGGCUCAGCAAUCCCUGUUCCGUGGUUUUUCAGCCAGAAAUACUUUUGUUGUUAUUUGCAUCCAGAGGAGGAGGAGGAGGAGGAGGAGGAGGAGGAGGAAGAGGAGGAGGCAGAUUCCCUGGCUGAGGCGUGAGG